CUCUAGGUGAUGUUGAUGCGUGCCCUAACUGACCUCCUUUAAUAUCGCUCUGGUUACUACACUCCGGAAGCUCCCAUUUUAAGACCUUGCUGCAUACAGGCCACCAAAUGGAAGGUCUGGAGUCCAUCUGGCCUACAAAACAAGAACAACAUCGUCAAAUCAUUGGGUCUUAAGAUCAACAUCAUAGUCCAGGUGUAAACUGUAAAGAUUUAACAAAAUACUGGCUGAGCUAGGCUCCUCUCUGCCCACCUGCGUCUGCCAAGAGGGAGAACGUUAGAGAGUUGGCGUGAAAGCAAGAAAGCCCACGGCAGCCUGCAGGUGUUCCUCAUACUGCUGUGGCCUGAGAGCAGCAGGUAGAGGUUAUUACACGAGAGGUUGAAAGCAGAGAGGGUCUGAAGCAGCCACUCGCAGUUUCCUAGGCUCCGAAGCCGUGUGGGAGAACGCCAGACUCCUCUGCGUCUCCAAGAAGGACCAUGAGAGUCAGCCAGCAGGGGAUCCUGACUACGUCUGCAUCAUGAUGAAGUGGAUGGACAGGUAACCACGACGGAGGGUCAGGCAGAAGCCAGCACCUUGGCGGCAGGUGACACCCUACCACUUCAGUACCUCCCCCACUUCUCAUGCCCACUCCACACAUGAUGCUUACAAGUCAGACACAGUCCGAGGAAGUCCCAAGAAGGAAAAGAAGAAAACAUGGAAUUGACUGAGACAGCCUGGAAUUUGGCUUGACUAAGAAUUCAGUGGAGGGUGGGGGGAAUGGAGAAUUUUAUAGAGAUUAAGUCAAGUUAUAGAAAAUAACAAAGUGAGGAUGCCUUUCUGAAACCUAAAAGAUAAAUCACAUCCUCUAUGAAUAGUUGUUUUUAGUGUCUGGACCCCUGAUAGAUUGCAAAUUCCUGGAUGGCUGAUUUUGUGUCUUGUGCAUCCCACCUUCCCCCCAAGCCCAGGGUUUGCACACCAUAAGCCCACCUGAGAAGUUUGUGAACUUGCUCUGAAAUGAGCUGAGCUGGAAAUCAUGUUCUCCUAGCACACCUGGGCUGAGUCCCCUCUUUUCCAUUGCAUUCAUUUGAGUCUCACCUAAUUCCUGUGCCCCGGACUUGUCCUUUCUCAUUCUCUAUUUCCUCAUCCAUAAAAUGAAGGUAAUGAUGGUCCCUGGGGUAGUACAGAGUUAAAUGGUGUAAGGUAUGUGAAAGCUUUCUGUGACCUAGAAAGGGCUGCGAAGUGUUAUUUUGGAAUGUCCUGGUCCUUUUGGGAGACCAGGACUUGCUGCAUCUUUUCUCCUUUUAAGCAGUGCUCUGCUUCUUCGCCCAAUUCAGUUCAACAGACAUUUGUCAAGUAUCAUUCAUAAGUCAGGCACAUUACAAGUGCCUCACCUGGGUAAUGGC